ACCCCAUGGUCUCGGCCCAAAAUCUCCUUAAGCUGAUAAGCAACUUCAGCAAAGUCUCAGGAUACAAAAUCAAUGUACAAAAUUCACAAGCAUUCUUAUACACCAACAACAGACAAACAGAGAGCCAAAUCAUGAGUGAACUCCCAUAAAUAUAAUAGCAUGUUUUCCAGUGGUGGUAUAAUAAUUCAUUUAGAUCUUAAUUUCAGUUCUGUUGGCCAGCUCCUCAGUCACUCCCCUAUUCUUAGCAGGGGAAAAACAACACACACUCACAACACACACACACACACAACAAAAAACAAAGCACAAUGUUAACUCUUAGUUUUCAACGAAAGAACACAGAGUAAACCUUCUGAGAAAAGGGAUUUAGUUCAGUUUAACCAGUUCUCAAUUUCUAGCACAAAGAAUAUACAAACAAUAUACAUUUUAAAAUUUUUAAAUAUUGAGUGCAAUUUAAUAUUUGAUGAAAUAAAAAACUGAAAAUGAAAUGGCAGAUUCUCCUGAGUGUGAGAGAAAAUGGUAUGACCACAAAUGGGUCAAUGCAUUUUAGACCUUUACAGUGGUCCCUGAGGUUCUGAACAAUGAUCAUAUCAGCAGCAACAUUGUUGUUCAUUAUACUGUAAAUGUAUGUUAGACCUCUAAUAUCCUUAU
rnacentral:lncRNA from 1 species